CUCGAAGGGCGCGCACCAGUAGUACUUCUUGAUGGCCGAGUAACCUGCGGGGGGAAGGGCUUAGUGAGGGUGAGGACACGAAGGCUCAGGAGGAGGACGUGAAGAGAGGAAAAGACAGCAAGGCAAGAGAAGAUAGAGAUGGCAAAAAGUAGAAAAGGAAGUUGAGAGAGAGGAAACGACGGCAAGGUAGUUGAAAAGAGAGCAAGGCAAGAGAAGAUAGAGAUGGCAAAAGGUAGAAAAGGAAGUUGAAAGAGAGGAAACGACGGCAAGGUAGUUGAAAAGAGAGCAAGGCAAGAGAAGAUAGAGAUGGCAAAAGGUAGAAAAGGAAGUUGAAAGAGAGGAAACGACGGCAAGGUAGUUGAAGUCAUAGUAAGGCAAGAGAAGAUAGAGAUGGCAAAAGGAAGAAAAGGAAGUUGAAAGAGAGGAAAAGAUGUCAAGGUAGUAGACGUAAUAGUGGUGGUGGUAGAAGUAGUUUUGGUUUAUAUUUGAUCAUCUUUUUUUCAAUGCCAUUUUAUCUUAUUUUAUCUUAUUUUAUUUUAUUCUUAUUUUUUCAAUGCCUUUUUAUCUUAUUUUACAUUACUUCGCAUCAUUUCUGUCUUAUUGUAUUCAUUUUUUUUUUCAUUUCUUGACAUUUUAGGAAUUUCAGUUCAGUCAGUUUUACGUUAUUUUUUUCUCUAACAUCUUAUCUAAUAUCUAACAUCUUUUAGUAGUCAUAUUUUCCGUCUUUAUUGAGUAUCCCACUCUCCUUUUCUCUCAAUUUUAUACGGGACCAGGAGACUGUACUAUAUAUUAUUAUUUUAUCCUAUAUUAUCAUUAGUAUGUUUCAGAUUUAUCGAUGUUUAGUGAUAAUUUUACUCUAUUUAUAUAUUUUCAUGAGACGAGGAGACGCACAGGAGGUCAUAUAUUUGAAAACAUUAAACCAAUCCUUUAAAAUGUUACUCCGGUUAAAGGAGAGAGAGAGAGAGAGAGAGAGAGAGAGAGAGAGAGAGAGAGAGAGAGAGAGAGAGAGAGAGAGAGAGAGAGAGAGAGAGAGGCUGAAAAACGGUCACACUAGUUCACGAGACAUAAAUUCAGAUUCGAUAACAUUAUGAAGGUUCGUGUGUCUCGCUCCCCGCUUCGUUUCACUGUCCCGAUCCUCCCUUCGCUCCCUCCCUCCCAGCGUUGCCAAAUUGUCGUACUCUGAACAUUGUAUUUAUCAUUUUUAGGUCCGAAGAAUUCCGCAACCACACAAACAACGACAGAACAAUAAAGUUAGCGUUAAAACUCUUAUUUAUUGAUGUUUUUUGUGUUUUUUGCUAUAGUUAUCGUUCAGAAACUACGGCAAUGCAAUGCGAUGAGUACGAUACUUUGGCAAUGCUGUUCCUCCCUCCCUUCGCUUCAUUAGUGUCGCGGUACUUUAUGAAGCGAUUCGUUGCUUCAUAACCGUUCGGGGCAUUACGAAUCGCUCUUUGUGCUUCGUUUGACUUAAAGCUUUUUGCAGUGUAUGUUAAAGGUGACUUCGUGCUUGCAAUAUAGAAGGUGAUUUGGUUGUGUGACAUUCUCUCUCUCUCUCUCUCUCUCUCUCUCUCUCUCUCUCUCAUAUUAAAAAGUCAAAUACAUGUUAGACGUAAUUUGAGAGCGAAAAAAAGAAUAAAAGGGGGAAGUAGAGAGGGAGAGAAAGGCAUAGAAGAAAUGAAAAUUGGAGAGAAAGAGGAGAGGAAUGAGCGGAGGAAAAGUGGGGCAAAAAAAUAUGAAAGAGAGGGGGAGAUAGACGUACAAAAAUAAAAGAGAUGGGAAUGAUAAGAGAGGAAUGACGAAGGGAGGAGGAUGAUAAAUGAAGGACAGAGGGAAGGGAGUGACAUGAGGAGGAGGAAGAGAAAGAAGGAAAAAGGAAGAGGAAGAGAAAGGAAAGGAGAGGAGGAGAAGAUAAAAGAUAGCAAGGAAGGAAGAA